rnacentral:rRNA from 1 species
GAUGAACGCUGGCGGCGUGCCUAAUACAUGCAAGUCGAGCGAAUGGAUUAAGAGCUUGCUCUUAUGAAGUUAGCGGCGGACGGGUGAGUAACACGUGGGUAACCUGCCCAUAAGACUGGGAUAACUCCGGGAAACCGGGGCUAAUACCGGAUAACAUUGUGAACCGCAUGGUUCGAAAUUGAAAGGCGGCUUCGGCUGUCACUUAUGGAUGGACCCGCGUCGCAGUAGAUAGUGGGUGAGGUAACGGCUCACCAAGGCAACGAUGCUUAGCCGACCUGAGAGGGUGAUCGGCCACACUGGACUGAGACACGGCCCAGACUCCUACGGGAGGCAGCAGUAGGGAAUCUUCCGCAAUGGACGAAAGUCUGACGGAGCAACGCCGCGUGAGUGAUGAAGGCUUUCGGGUCGUAAAACUCUGUUGUUAGGGAAGAACAAGUGCUAGUUGAAUAAGCUGGCACCUUGACGGUACCUAACCAGAAAGCCACGGCUAACUACGUGCCAGCAGCCGCCGUAA